rnacentral:rRNA from 1 species
GAAGUGAUUUACUCAUGGAGCUGAAGUCAGUCGAAGAUACCAGCUGGCUGCAACUGUUUAUUAAAAACACAGCACUGUGCAAACACGAAAGUGGACGUAUACGGUGUGACGCCUGCCCGGUGCCGGAAGGUUAAUUGAUGGGGUCAGCGCAAGCGAAGCUCCUGAUCGAAGCCCCGGUAAACGGCGGCCGUAACUAUAACGGUCCUAAGGUAGCGAAAUUCCUUGUCGGGUAAGUUCCGACCUGCACGAAUGGCGUAAUGAUGGCCAGGCUGUCUCCACCCGAGACUCAGUGAAAUUGAACUCGCUGUGAAGAUGCAGUGUACCCGCGGCAAGACGGAAAGACCCCGUGAACCUUUACUAUAGCUUGACACUGAACAUUGAGCCUUGAUGUGUAGGAUAGGUGGGAGGCUUUGAAGUGUGGACGCCAGUCUGCAUGGAGCCGACCUUGAAAUACCACCCUUUAAUGUUUGAUGUUCUAACGUGGACCCGUAAUCCGGGUUGCGGACAGUGUCUGGUGGGUAGUUUGACUGGGGCGGUCUCCUCCUAAAGAGUAACGGAGGAGCACGAAGGUUGGCUAAUCCUGGUCGGACAUCAGGAGGUUAGUGCAAUGGCAUAAGCCAGCUUGACUGCGAGCGUGACGGCGCGAGCAGGUGCGAAAGCAGGUCAUAGUGAUCCGGUGGUUCUGAAUGGAAGGGCCAUCGCUCAACGGAUAAAAGGUACUCCGGGGAUAACAGGCUGAUACCGCCCAAGAGUUCAUAUCGACGGCGGUGUUUGGCACCUCGAUGUCGGCUCAUCACAUCCUGGGGCUGAAGUAGGUCCCAAGGGUAUGGCUGUUCGCCAUUUAAAGUGGUACGCGAGCUGGGUUUAGAACGUCGUGAGACAGUUCGGUCCCUAUCUGCCGUGGGCGCUGGAGAACUGAGGGGGGCUGCUCCUAGUACGAGAGGACCGGAGUGGACGCAUCACUGGUGUUCGGGUUGUCAUGCCAAUGGCACUGCCCGGUAGCUAAAUGCGGAAGAGAUAAGUGCUGAAAGCAUCUAAGCACGAAACUUGCCCCGAGAUGAGUUCUCCCUGAGACUUUAGGUCUCCUGAAGGAACGUUGAAGACGACGACGUUGAUAGGCCGGGUGUGUAAGCGCAGCGAUGCGUUGAGCUAACCGGUACUAAUGAACCGUGAGGCUUAACCUUACA